rnacentral:lncRNA from 1 species
UCUACUCUAUUACAAUCGCAUCGCAACCUUAUUGACGUCGCCGCAACCACGAAACCUUGCUAGUAACCAACACGGUCGUCCUCGUCGUCGGCGGCGGCGAACAAGUCCCGGCACAGCUCGCGGUAGAAUCGAGAGACCAAGUCGACGAAAACCGGGCACGUGAGGUUCUUCCAACAGAGGAGGAGCUCCUCCACGUCCAUGAGAUCCCUCACUUUCCCUUCUUCCACCAUCAUUUCCACCAAGUAGUUCUCGAAGCUCCUGCACGCAUCCUCCACUUCGUCAACGCCGCCGUCGCUGUCCCAGCCCCUCCUCUUCAAGGACUUGGAGGGAGCGCUGCCGAUUGCUGAAGGCGCUGCCGGCGUGAUCGGCGAGGGAAACAGCAGCCUCUCGCGUCC